rnacentral:rRNA from 1 species
ACGGAGGGUGCAAGCGUUACUCGGAAUCACUGGGCGUAAAGAGCGUGUAGGCGGAUAGGUAAGUCAGAAGUGAAAUCCAAUAGCUCAACUAUUGAACUGCUUUUGAAACUGCUUAUCUAGAAUAUGGGAGAGGUAGAUGGAAUUUCUGGUGUAGGGGUAAAAGCCGUAGAGAUCAGAAGGAGUACCGAUUGCGAAGGCGAUCUACUGGAACAUUAUUGACGCUGAGCCGCGAAAGCGUGGAGAGCAAACAG